UACGGGGGGGCAAGCGUUGUUCGGAAUUACUGGGCGUAAAGGGCGCGUAGGCGGCUUUUCAAGUCGGGCGUGAAAUCUCCAGGCUUAACCUGGAAGGGUCGUUCGAUAUUGUUAAGCUAGAGUGUGGAAGAGGCUACUGGAAUUCCGUGUGUAGCGGUGAAAUGCGCAGAUAUCAGGAGGAACACCGAUGGCGAAGGCAGGUCUCUGGGCAUUAACUGACGCUGAGGAGCGAAAGCAUGGGGAGCGAACAGG
rnacentral:rRNA from 1 species